CCUACGGGUGGCAGCAGUGAGGAAUAUUGGUCAAUGGGCGCGAGCCUGAACCAGCCAAGUCGCGUGAGGGAAGACGGUCCUAUGGAUUGUAAACCUCUUUUAUAUGGGAAUAAAAUGUUCCACGUGUGGGAUUUUGUAUGUACCAUAUGAAUAAGGAUCGGCUAACUCCGUGCCAGCAGCCGCGGUAAUACGGAGGAUCCGAGCGUUAUCCGGAUUUAUUGGGUUUAAAGGGAGCGUAGGUGGAUUGUUAAGUCAGUUGUGAAAGUUUGCGGCUCAACCGUAAAAUUGCAGUUGAAACUGGCAGUCUUGAGUACAGUAGAGGUGGGCGGAAUUCGUGGUGUAGCGGUGAAAUGCUUAGAUAUCACGAAGAACUCCGAUUGCGAAGGCAGCUCACUGGACUGCAACUGACACUGAGGCUCGAAAGUGUGGGUAUCAAACAGGAUUAGAUACCCGGGUAGUC
rnacentral:rRNA from 1 species